GCAGCAGUGGGGAAUCUUGGACAAUGGGCGCAAGCCUGAUCCAGCCAUGCCGCGUGAGUGAUGAAGGCCUUAGGGUCGUAAAGCUCUUUCGCCAGGGAUGAUAAUGACAGUACCUGGUAAAGAAACCCCGGCUAACUCCGUGCCAGCAGCCGCGGUAAUACGGAGGGGGUUAGCGUUGUUCGGAAUUACUGGGCGUAAAGCGCACGUAGGCGGAUCAGAAAGUAUGGGGUGAAAUCCCAGGGCUCAACCCUGGAACUGCCUCAUAAACUCCCGGUCUUGAGUUCGAGAGAGGUGAGUGGAAUUCCGAGUGUAGAGGUGAAAUUCGUAGAUAUUCGGAGGAACACCAGUGGCGAAGGCGGCUCACUGGCUCGAUACUGACGCUGAGGUGCGAAAGUGUGGGGAGCAAACAGGAUUAGAUACCCUGGUAGUCCACACCGUAAACGAUGAAUGCCAGUCGUCGGGUAGCAUGCUAUUCGGUGACACACCUAACGGAUUAAGCAUCCGCC
rnacentral:rRNA from 1 species